GCAAAAUGCUAGAUGCACUAAUUUAGUGCGAUCAAGACUUUGAUUGAUAACUGGUAGAGAAAAUAACCUGAUAGAUUUUGUUUUUCGAUAUGGAUGUAACCUCUGUCCAUUAUUUGCUUCAUGGUGAUGUUAUAGAAUGUGGCGCAGGCGCCAGGGGGAUACGCAAACCGUAGUGAGAAGGAUACAUGAUAUCUCUCCCCCGACCCAUUAAGCUGUAUGAAUGGGCAUUUAAAACUUAACCCUUUUUAGGAGUAUAUAUAUGUGUGUGUGCGUGUGUGUGUGUGUGUAUGUGUGUGUGUGUGUGUGUGUGUGUGUGUGUGUGUGUGUGUGUGUGUGUGUGUGUGUGUGUGUGUGUGUGUGUGUGUGUGUGUGUGUGUGUGUGUUUGUUCAUAUUUUACAUAUAAUCUUACGAAGUCACCAUUCCUGCAUCACGCACCCUGUUCUCAUUAUUGAAAAGCAGUGUUGCCUAUUUUCCGCGCAUCACAUAAGGGCUGUUACACAACUCCGGCAUCAGUCGUGUUGUGGCAGAUCUAGUGUACGGUGCCUUUGCUCUUUCCUUUGAAGGGAGUAAAAGAGGAAUUGUAAAGAAAAUAAUAAGAAGAAUUGAGAGGAAUGCAGCUACUACUCGGAGGUUUCUUGGCAUUAACACAUCUUAGAAUUUAUAAACAUGAAUCAUCAACAUCCCAGCGGCUUAUUCGGGCCCCUCAACAAGCACUAUAGAUCCCUCAAGCGCGUUUAUAUGAACCUCAAGAGAGGCGUGGAGAUUUCGCUUCGCUUCGUCAACGCUCUGGUAAAAGUAUUCACGCCGAUCGUCUUUUGCUUCUUCUUCGUCUUCAGAAUCGUGGAUAAAAUCGGCAAGUACCUCUCGUGGAUGGCAUAUCAUCGCUCAGGAGUAUGACAGGCUUAGGCCGCGAUGAGGGCCGUGGAAGGAGGCUACAGAGGCUGACGAAGAGCUGCGUCGGAAGACAAAUGUUUGUGGAGGACCAGCCGAUAUGCCAAGAGACAGAAAAAAUGGAACCUUCGAAACGUAGCUGAGAAUGAAUUCUUUGAAUAAGCAUGACUAUAUAACUGACAUAAGUACAUGUAUACUGUAGCUAAAUGGCCUUUGAUAUUGAUUACACAAUACAGAAUGUUUGAAAAGA